UACGGAAGGCAGCAGUGGGGAAUAUUGCACAAUGGGCGCAAGCCUGAUGCAGCCAUGCCGCGUGUAUGAAGAAGGCCUUCGGGUUGUAAAGUACUUUCAGUCGUGAGGAAGGUGUUAAGGUUAAUAACCUUAGCAAUUGACGUUAGCGACAGAAGAAGCACCGGCUAACUCCGUGCCAGCAGCCGCGGUAAUACGGAGGGUGCGAGCGUUAAUCGGAAUUACUGGGCGUAAAGGGCACGCAGGCGGUUAAUUAAGUUGGAUGUGAAAUCCCCGGGCUUAACCUGGGAAUGGCAUUCAAGACUGGUUAGCUAGAGUCUUGUAGAGGGGGUUAGAAUUCCAUGUGUAGCGGUGAAAUGCGUAGAGAUGUGGAGGAAUACCGGUGGCGAAGGCGGCCCCUGGACAAAGGCUGACGCUCAUGUGCGAAAGCGUGGGGA
rnacentral:rRNA from 1 species